GUGGGAUCUUUUGUAAAACUAUAAAAACUGAAGGAUUGAUUCAUUUCAAAAUUCAGCGUUAACAGAUCUUGAGACUUGACCAAAUCUCUCUCACUUUUGAACAGGUACCUAAUGUGUGAACGAUAUGCAGACUAUGGAGGCAGUUUCUACAUCUCUAAAUGAGGGAAUUGUCUCUAUCUAUAACAUCUGCAAGUCCCUCAAGGAAGCACAUAUCAAUCCCAUCACUGACACAUGCUCCAAUUACAACCAAAUUAGGAAAAAUAUUACGCAUGCUGAGCAGUGCUUGAAAACAUCUGAGAAAAUGAUUAAAGGAAAACUGGGAGAUCUGGAUGAAAGCAUGUGCCAACUUAUAAGAGAGAAACAAAAUGUUGAGCAACAGAAAAAAGAGAAAAAUCUGGCUUUGGAUCAAUUAUACAUAAAGAAGUCAUCUGCUGUGGAAUCAUUGAAGUAUUCCAAAGAGGCUUUGGAACAGGCUGAAAGAAGUGUAGAAUCAGCAAAUUAUGCCAUAAGAGUACAUCAAGACAGGAUGAACACAUCCAAUGAUGUUGCAACUGCAGGGGCGAUACUGUGUGCAAUACCAAUUUUUGGAUGGAUUGCUGGUCCAAUCAUGAUUAGUGAGGGAGAGCAGGGAUUUGAAGAAGCUCUAAAUUCCUUGAGAGCUGCCGAAUGGGAAAAACAAAACGCUGAGUCUCAAGUAAGGAACUGCAAUGCAAAAGUCUCUCAUUAUGAUGGAAUAAUCUCUAGGACAUACUAUGAAAUUGAGCAGACCAAUGAGACUCUAAGAAGGAUUGAGUGGAAGGUUGAAGAGGUUCAAAAGAAUCUAGAGGACACAGAAAAUAUUCAAAACAUGGUCAGGAGAGCUGUGUACCUUCUGAAUGUUCUUAGUGGAAGAGUCGCUGUAAUGGAGAAGCAAACACAACGUUUUGUCCUCUGGCAGCCUGUGGUGGAGAUCAUGCAAGAUGUGAUAAAGGCAGUAUUAAAUAUUGCUGAGAAUCGGCUCCUCUAUAGAGAUGGUCCACCAAGCCUUAUAAAUACUUUGAGGGAGAACGUUACAGGACUACUGUCUUUACACAGCUCAUCCAGUUAUUCUGAAUAUGACAGUUAUUACUGAUCAUCUCCAUGUAACUAACAUAGCAAAGGCUUAUAGAAUAAAAAGAUUUAUUGUUGUUUUAGAAACCA
ensembl:lncRNA